UACGAAGGGGGCUAGCGUUGCUCGGAAUCACUGGGCGUAAAGCGCACGUAGGCGGAUUGUUAAGUCAGGGGUGAAAUCCUGGAGCUCAACUCCAGAACUGCCUUUGAUACUGGCGAUCUCGAGUCCGGGAGAGGUGAGUGGAACUGCGAGUGUAGAGGUGAAAUUCGUAGAUAUUCGCAAGAACACCAGUGGCGAAGGCGGCCCACUGGCCCGGUACUGACGCUGAGGUGCGAAAGCGUGGGGAGCAAACAGG
rnacentral:rRNA from 1 species